CACGGAGUUAGCCGAUCCUUAUUCUUACGGUACAUUCAGCCCAAUACACGUAUUGGGGGUUAUUCCCGUACAAAAGCAGUUUACAACCCGUAGGGCAGUCUUCCUGCACGCGGCAUGGCUGGUUCAGGGUUCCCCCCGAUUGACCAAUAUUCCUUACUGCUGCCUCCCGUAGGAGUCUGGUCCGUGUCUCAGUACCAGUGUGGGGGAUUCUCCUCUCAGAGCCCCUAGACAUCGUCGCCUUGGUGGGCCGUUAUCCCCCCGAACAAGCUAAUGUCACGCGAGCCCAUCCAUAUCCUAUAAAUAUUUAACCGCUUUCCCAUGCGGGAGCGCCGUCUCAUGCGGGCUUAAUCCGGAUUUCUCCGGGCUACUCCCCCUGAUAUGGGCAGGUUGCUCACGCGUUACGCACCCGUGCGCCACUCUCACCGGUAGCAAGCUACCGGAUCCCGUCCGACUUGCAUGUAUUAGGCCUGCCGCUAGCGUUCAUCCUGAGCCAGGAUCAAACUC
rnacentral:rRNA from 1 species